GAAAUAUGCUCCUUGCUCAGCCUCACACCUUCCCCUCCACUGUGAAUGAGGAAGCAGGGAACACAAAUUAAAAUAAUGUUGAUUUAGUUUUUAAAGGGAGUGCCCGGGAGCGUUUUCUGCAUGGCCAGCUGAAAACCCCAGCCCCAGAUGCUCGGUGCCUCCCUUGCACAAUACAAAGAGAAUAUUUGAUACCCAGAGCUCAGCCCAUGAGUGGAUUUUUAUUUUGUUUUUGGCUUUUGUUUCCUUUACGCAUUCCUUUGGAUUUCAAACUUUUAAACGCCAACUUGAAAAUUCCUUUUUCUGCAAAAGGUCUCUACUCCUGCAGGGCUCCCUGGACUCAGUCCUCACCCACAGACGUCUGUGAUCUGGACGCUUUGCAUAUGGGACGCAGACAGGGAAGUUGACUGCCUGUGCAUAGGUACAGUGUAGGUCACUGUGUCUUUUCACCUGCUUGGGUGCCCCCAGGUGAUGGAGAGCUCAGGAAAUCAGGUCUUCAGGCUUGUUACUGGCAAUUCAGCCACCUCCUCAAGCCCUGCCGACACCAGGUUUAAAUUCAGACAGUGGCAGGCACUCGAAGCCAGUGAGGCCCCUGGGAUGAUUCCUCGUGAAAUGAAGGCGUUCGUGGUCAGCCGUGGUGAAGAAGUGUCAGGGCUUGCAAAGGGGGCUGAGUACUCAGGCAGACCUGUGUCAUACCCCUAGCUCCACCACUAAUUAGCUGCAUACCCCUAAUGAAGUUCUUUAACCUCUCUAAACCUCAGUCUCCCAUCUUUAAAACAGGAGUUGUAACGCUCCCCUCGCAGAAUGGCAUUGAAGAUUAAGUUAGAUAAAGUGGUCAGGCCACUCAAGAUGACUGUUUUCAUGCUCUGUGUGCAUUCCUGGCUCUACCAGCAUCUGCUUCACCUACACCCUACUCAAAUGACUGGCCUUCCCCUAUACCUGCCCCAGCCACUGAUCCUUCUAACCUUUAGAUCAGAAUAUCUUCACCUGUUGGCUUAUUAAAGGAGUGGUGAGGGGCCUGCCCCUCUGCUGAUCUCCCUGGUAACUGAUGAGCCAACCUGAAGUAAUUCUCUCAAUAACUAGUAACCUCCCCUUCCCCCAGAAGUCAUGAAGACUGCUGCCCUGUCCUGCCGUCAUCUGCCGCACCCUCUGGGUGUCGCUUCAGAACCUGGCUUCAGACGUUUCAAGAACCUCUCCAGGUAUUUUUAUAGCAAGAGUGGGCUAAGUGGGAGUGACCUGCCUCUUGUAGUCAAGAUUCUGGCAACCAGAUAGGAAAAAUGAGCUCUGUGCCUAGACUGAGUCUGUGUGGUGCCUGGAGCCUCCCACUCUGAGACUGUCUCCAUUGCCGCAGGCACCUCCUCUCUUCCCGGGACACCCUCACUGAACCCUGCUUUGAUCCUCUCAGUCACGUUCAGAAAAUCGACUUCAGCUGCUUCCAGCCUCUCCAGCCAAGUGGACCAUAAGUGCUUCAGGAAAGUACUCGGGUUUCCCAAGCAGACGAGAAAGGAAGUGAAUGGUAGCCCUGGCCGACAUUUUUGGAGGGACCCUGGAAGCACCCUGUCCUGCACCCCUGCUGGUAAUUUCCUGCAGGGGUGCAGGAAAUUCACCCCUUCUGAAUUUCCUGCCAGGAGCUCUUUGAUCUACUUCUGAGAAAGUCACUGUCACUUGGUACAAGAAGUUCCAUCCUCUCUGGUUUCCUACCUCUCCUUCACCAGUCAUCGUCCUGCUCAUCCCUUCUAGCUCAGUGUCCUCUUGUCUUUGCUGAGGUCCCCCCUCAUGCCACCCAUGCUAACCUGGAAAACAUUUUCUCCAUGGCUCACUUUUGUCC
ensembl:lncRNA